GAGUUUGAUUAUGGCUCAGAUUGAACGCUGGCGGCAUGCUUUACACAUGCAAGUCGAACGGCAGCACGAGUGCUUGCACUUGGUGGCGAGUGGCGAACGGGUGAGUAAUGCAUUGGAACGUGCCUUGUAUUGGGGGAUAACUGAGCGAAAGCUUAGCUAAUACCGCAUACGCCCUGAUGGGGAAAGCUGGGGAUCGUUUGACCUGGCGAUAUAAGAGCGGCCAAUGUCUGAUUAGCUAGUUGGUGAGGUAAAGGCUUACCAAGGCGACGAUCAGUAGCGGGUCUGAGAGGAUGAUCCGCCACACUGGGACUGAGAGACGGCCCAGACUCCUACGGGAGGCAGCAGUGGGGAAUUUUGGACAAUGGGGGGAACCCUGAUCCAGCCAUGCCGCGUGUCUGAAGAAGGCCUUCGGGUUGUAAAGGACUUUUGUUGGGGAGCAAAGGUAUCUGGUUAAGAGCUGGAGAUAUGAGAGNCCCAA
rnacentral:rRNA from 1 species